rnacentral:rRNA from 1 species
AUGUGUCCAAACAAGAAGAGAGUAAGCUGUAGGAAACGGCACAUCGGAGCUGAAGAGGCAUCGAGCUUGCGGCGAAACAACAGGGAAACAGAACAUGCACAGGAUGCGAGGGAUAUGGCCCUGGUGCUCAUUGAGCUGCCGAGUCUUGUUGCCGGGAAGGGGAACCCUUUCCUCUUCCACCCAGGCUCAAGGGAGCCGAGCACCGGCGAACAAGGGACGGCCAGCAAGCACCAAACAGAAAAUGGCAAGCCCGACAUCUCUGGAAACCACGUUGUCACACGGACCCCCGCUGCAAUUGCAAACCUCGGAUCUAGCACCGCACACCUACGCCCUUCUAACCAGACGACGCCCCCAGGGAGGUUACGACGCCGAGCGCCGCCGCCGCCGAAUCCGCAAGGGAUUACAGGAUUUAACCUUGGAAUGGAGGGGAAGGGGUGGGAAGAGGGGAUCUCGACAGUGCCUUCAAGAAGGGGAGCCGCGCCCGAGGGCCUGGCCACCGCCGUGGUCGGAGCCACCAACCAGGGAUUUCUCCCGGUCCCGACGGACACCACCGCAACCAGCUACCAACAGAACGGCAAAGACCAGCGCUAG